rnacentral:tRNA from 1 species
GCGAGCGUGGCGAAACUGGUAGACGCAACGGACUUAAAAUCCGUUUCCCGAAAGGGAGUGCGGGUUCAACUCCCGCCGCUCGCACCA